GGGAGCUUGCUCCCGGAUGUUAGCGGCGGACGGGUGAGUAACACGUGGGUAACCUGCCUGUAAGACUGGGAUAACUCCGGGAAACCGGAGCUAAUACCGGAUAGUUCCUUGAACCGCAUGGUUCAAGGAUGAAAGACGGUUUCGGCUGUCACUUACAGAUGGACCCGCGGCGCAUUAGCUAGUUGGUGGGGUAAUGGCUCACCAAGGCGACGAUGCGUAGCCGACCUGAGAGGGUGAUCGGCCACACUGGGACUGAGACACGGCCCAGACUCCUACGGGAGGCAGCAGUAGGGAAUCUUCCGCAAUGGACGAAAGUCUGACGGAGCAACGCCGCGUGAGUGAUGAAGGUUUUCGGAUCGUAAAGCUCUGUUGUUAGGGAAGAACAAGUGCGAGAGUAACUGCUCGCACCUUGACGGUACCUAACCAGAAAGCCACGGCUAACUACGUGCCAGCAGCCGCGGUAAUACGUAGGUGGCAAGCGUUGUCCGGAAUUAUUGGGCGUAAAGGGCUCGCAGGCGGUUUCUUAAGUCUGAUGUGAAAGCCCCCGGCUCAACCGGGGAGGGUCAUUGGAAACUGGGAAACUUGAGUGCAGAAGAGGAGAGUGGAAUUCCACGUGUAGCGGUGAAAUGCGUAGAGAUGUGGAGGAACACCAGUGGC
rnacentral:rRNA from 1 species